ensembl:lncRNA
GGAGGAGGUGUAGAGGUGGUGAGGGGAGGAGUGGUAGAGGUGGUGAGGGGAGGAGGUGUAGAGGUGGUGGGGGGGGAGGAGGAGUAGAGGUGGUGAGGGGAGGAGGUGUGAGGGGAGGAGGUGUAGAGGUGGUGAGGGGAGGAGGUGUAGAGGUGGUGAGGGGAGGAGGUGUAGAGGUGGUGAGGGGAGGAGGUGUAGAGGUGGUGAGGGGAGGAGGUGUGAGGGGAGGAGGUGUAGAGGUGGUGAGGGGAGGAGGUGUAGAGGUGGUGAGGGGAGGAAGUGUGAGGGGAGGAGGUGUAGAGGUGGUGAGGGGAGGAGGUGUAGAGGUGGUGAGAGGAGGAGGUGUAGAGGUGGUGAGGGGAGGAGGUGUAGAGGUGGUGAGGGGAGGAGGUGUAGAGGUGGUGAGAGGAGGAGGUGUAGAGGUGGUGAGGGGAGGAGGUGUAGAGGUGGUGUGGAGAGGAGGUGUAGAGGUGGUGUGGGGACGAGGUGUAGAGGUGGUGAGGGGAGG